GGACUACCCGGGUUUCUAAUCCCGUUUGCUCCCCUGGCUUUCGCGCCUCAGCGUCAGAAGAGGUCCAGCACGCCGCUUUCGCCACCGGCGUUCCUUCCGAUAUCUACGCAUUUCACCGCUCCACCGGAAGUUCCGCAUGCCCCUACCUCCCUCAAGACCACCAGUAUCCAAGGCACUUCCCCAGUUGAGCUGGGGGCUUUCACCCCGGACUUGAUGACCCGCCUACGCGCCCUUUAAGCCCAGUGAUUCCGAACAACGUUUGCACGGUUCGUCUUACCGCGGCGGCUGGCAC
rnacentral:rRNA from 3 species